GGGCACUCAGGCCGGAGCCGGGACUCAGCUCCAGCUCUCCAACUCCUACCCGUUAGGGGAGAGGGACCCACUCGCGAGCGAGACUGAACGCUUGUCAGAAUUCACAGCUCCUCACCCUCCGUGCAGGGGCUCCCCGGGUCCCGCCCCCAAGAGCACGCACAGCAGGGAGCAAACCGCCCGGGUGUGUGCAACACUCCCCGGGGCUUCCCGUAGCAGCUGAUCCGCAAGGGUGGGGUGCUGGGGUCCAGCAGCGGCGAUAACCCGCGCCCUGCCCCCUCCGCCUCCGCCCCAACACAAGAGCGCCGGCUAUCCCAUUUCACAGAUGAAGACAGAAGGUUCAUUCAUGAAGGGCCAAAUGAACAUGUGCGUGGUCCUCCCGGAGGAGAAGCAGCCCAAGGGGCAGGAGCCCUUUCUCAAUAGGGGUUGGUUCUGGGCAGGUUGACUUCCUAGGGUGG